rnacentral:tRNA from 1 species
GCCAAUGUGGUCUAGCGGUUAGAACGCUGGCCUUGUAAUCCUGGGGUCUCGGGUUCGAUUCCCGGCGGUGCCC